rnacentral:rRNA from 1 species
GAUGAACGCUGGUGGCGUGCCUAAUACAUGCAAGUCGAGCGAAUGGAUUAAGAGCUUGCUCUUAUGAAGUUAGCGGCGGACGGGUGAGUAACACGUGGGUAACCUGCCCAUAAGACUGGGAUAACUCCGGGAAACCGGGGCUAAUACCGUAUAACAUUUUGAACCGCAUGGUUCGAAAUUGAAAGGCGGCCUCGGCUGUCACUUCAGGAUUGACCCCCGUCGCAUUAGCUAGUUGGUGAGGUAACGGCUCACCAAGGCAACGAUGCGUAGCCGACUUGAGAGGGUGAUCGGCCACACUGGGACUGAGACACGGCCCAGACUCCUACGGGAGGCAGCAGUAGGGAAUCUUCCGCAAUGGACGAAAGUCUGACGGAGCAACGCCGCGUGAGUGAUGAAGGCUUUCGGGUCGUAAAACUCUGUUGUUAGGGAAGAACAAGUGCUAGUUGAAUAAGCUGACACCUUGACGGUACCUAACCAGAAAGCCACGGCUAACUACGUGCCAGCCGCCGCUGUAA